rnacentral:tRNA from 1 species
AUGGAGCAGUCCGGUAGCUCGUCAGGCUCAUAACCUGAAGGUCGUAGGUUCAAAUCCUACUCCCGCAACCA